GAUGAACGCUGGCGGCGUGCUUAACACAUGCAAGUCGAACGAUGAAGCCCAGCUUGCUGGGUGGAUUAGUGGCGAACGGGUGAGUAACACGUGAGUAACCUGCCCUUAACUCUGGGAUAAGCCUGGGAAACUGGGUCUAAUACCGGAUAGGAGCGCCUACCGCAUGGUGGGUGUUGGAAAGAUUUAUCGGUUUUGGAUGGACUCGCGGCCUAUCCGCUUGUUGGUGAGGUAAUGGCUCACCAAGGCGACGACGGGUAGCCGGCCUGAGAGGGUGACCGGCCACACUGGGACUGAGACACGGCCCAGACUCCUACGGGAGGCAGCAGUGGAGAAUAUUGCACAAUGGGCGAAAGCCUGAUGCAGCGACGCCGCGUGAGGGAUGACGGCCUUCGGGUUGUAAACCUCUUUCAGUAGGGAAGAAGCGAAAGUGACGGUACCUGCAGAAGAAGCACCGGCUAACUACGUG
rnacentral:rRNA from 1 species